rnacentral:tRNA from 1 species
GUAGCUCACUCAGUAGAGCAUGACACUCUUAAUCUCAGGGUUGUGGGUUUGAGCCCCAUGCU